rnacentral:rRNA from 1 species
GACGAACGCUGGCGGCGUGCUUAACACAUGCAAGUCGAGCGAUGAAACACCUUCGGGUGCGGAUUAGCGGCGAACGGGUAAGGAACACGUGAGGAAUCUGCCUUCCACUCUGGGAUAACUCCGGGAAACCGGGGCUAAUACCGGAUACUUUCAACUGGCGGCAUCGCCGGUUGAAGAAAGUUUUUCGGUGGAAGAUGACCUCGCGGCCUAUCAGCUUGUUGGUGAGGUAAAGGCUCACCAAGGCGACGACGGGUAGCCGGCCGGAGAGGGCGGCCGCGCAGACUGGGACGGAGACACGGCCCAGACUGCUGCGGGAGGCAGCAGUGGGGAAUAUUGGGCAAUGGAGGAAACUCUGACCCAGCGACGCCGCGUGAGGGAUGAAGGCCUUCGGGUUGUAAACCUCUUUCAGCAGGGAAUAAGCGAAAGUGAAGGUACCUGCAGAAGAAGCACCGGCUAACUAUGUGCCAUCCGCCGCCGUAA